rnacentral:tRNA from 2 species
GGGUCGGUGGCAGAGUGGUCAAUUGCAUCAGACUGUAAAUCUGACGCCGCAAGGCUACGCAGGUUCAAAUCCUGCCCGGCCCACUA